GAUGGAAUGAGCGCUCUACGACCUCUAACUCUACUGCCUCUCUUCCCGUCGAUCAAGCGGAACUACCUCUCAGACGGUUGCCAUGACAACCAAGACCCGACACCCCCCUCCCCCCGCAUUCUCCGCUGAUUCGCCGGUGGUUUCCAGGCAACAGCUAUACAAAUCCAGGAAAACACCCGGAAAAGACCCUGGGCCAUGGAAUAACUCGAACUUAAGCAGAAUAGAAGGGUGGAAACAUGGCGACCUCUUCGCUUCCUCUCUUAGAAAACACAGACUCUCUGAAGCUGAAGGUGGAAAACAAAACGAGGAACAUCUUUGUGACACAGUCGGCUCAGACCAGACUCAGAAAAGAGAGAAAUGUCAACCACAUACCUGUUGUAACAGAGACGUCUAGUAGAAUUCUAGAGGCAGGAGUGAACACAUUGCAAAAGACCCUGGUUCUGAAGAAACAGGCUGAGUUGGACGAGGUGGACAAGCAACUUGCACUGAAACGGCAGGAGUUUAAAGGGCAGGUGGAAGCUCUGGCUCAGAAACGGUCUGAACUGGAACUGAAACACCAGCAGACCAAAGACAGGGCCAUGAAAUUUGAAAAGUUCGUGGCUGAAAACGAGCUGAAGCGGCGGCGGGCGCUGAAGAAGUUCGAGGUCACGCGGGAGCAGAACAUCCUGAAGCAGGCGGAGAUUGAAGAGCUGAGCAAUGGGCUCAGACGGCUGCAGACCAGAGGUCAAGUUUUAAAGGAGAGAAUUGCAAAAUAUAAAAUCUAUGAGGACUACUUGAUGAGAACACUGAGUCAUCUCCCCAGCAGUUACCUCGAUAACGGCUCUGAGUCUUUGGUGAUGCCAAUCAUUCGGCGCCACGAGACUCUGUCCAUCAUCAACCAGGAGCUGCUGCGGCGCCUGGAGCGUCUGGAGCUGGAGACGGAGCAGGGUCAACAGCGGCUGCAGACCAUGCAGCAGGAGCACAGCGUCAAAUCACUGUUGGCCAACAAAGAACUGUCUGAACUUCAGAGCGAGUUAGAGGUUCUUAAGGAGAAAAACAAACAGGAGGAGGCGAACCUGCUGAUGGAGCAAGGCCUCUCCAGGGAGAAGGUCGAGGAAGUGGGAAGAUUGCUUAUGGCCAUCAGUAACCUAGCAGAGCAGUGUUACCUGCCGGCAUAUGGACCUCUACAAAACAUGAACCUACUGACGAUGCUGGAUAUGGUGAAGGAAUACAUCCUGGACAAGGCCGACACCGAGAGGAGAGCGAGGAAGCUGAUGCGGUCGGCGUCUGCAGCGACGAACAAGGCGGCAGCUGUAACUGACAAGAGGUGGAGGGGAUCGAAGAAAAGCAUCGACAGUAAAACGCACUUGAAAAGUUCAAGUAAAGUCAGUAAAAAAAGUGACUCGGUGAAUUGA
rnacentral:lncRNA from 1 species